AUGGAAUUUAUCAGAAGGGCAUGGAUAUGGCUAUUGCAAAGUUGAACAAUGGUGGAUGGGUUCACAUUUUCCCAGAAGGUAGUCGAUCUCGUGAUGGUGGAAAGACUAUUGGGUCUUCAAAGAGAGGUGUUGGGAGAUUGGUCCUUGACGCUGAUACUGUUCCUAUAGUCAUCCCCUUUGUACACACCGGCAUGCAGGAAAUAAUGCCUAUAGGAGCCAACUUUCCGAGGAUUGGUAAAAUGGUGACAGUGCUUGUUGGCGACCCAAUCCAUUUUGAUGAUUUGCUUAAUGCAGAAGGAAUAGAACACAUAUCAAGAGGAAAAUUAUAUGAUGCUGUAGCUUCUAGAGUUGGUAGUCGAUUGUGUGAACUGAAAAUUCAAGUUGAAAAGUUGGCAUUUGAACAGGCUAUCAGGCUGCAACAUCCCAAUGCAGGAAGCAUAGAGAGGGCCAGUGAUAUGCUACAACAAGUUGAUUGGGAUUCAUUUGGCAUGGGAAGCCGUGUACUUACUGAAGAUGAUACAGUGGGACCUGGAAUCCAACCAAAACAAAACAUUACCUCUCACCGGGG
rnacentral:misc_RNA from 1 species